UGUGAUCGCCCUGUGUCAGUCGUCCGUCCGUUGUCAACAAUUUGACUGUUAACACCCUAGAGGUCACAAUUUUGGCCUAAUCUUAAUGAAACUUGGUCAGAAUAUUACCCUCAUAAAAAUCUCGGACGAGUUCGAUAUUGGGUCAUCUGGGGUCAAAAACUAGGUCACCAGGUCAAAUCAAAAGAAAAGCUUGUUAACACUCUAGAGGUCACAAUUUUGACCCAAUCUUAAUGAAACUUGGUCAGAAUGUUACCCACAAUAAAAUCUUGGAUGAAUUUGAUAUUGGGUCAUCUGGGGUCAGAAACUAGGUCACCAGGUCAAAUCAAAGGAAGCUUGUUAACACUCUAGAGGUCACAAUUUUGGCCCAAUCUUAAUGAAACUUGGUCAGAAUGUUACCCUCAAUAAAAUCUUGGAUGAGUUUGAUAUUGGGUCAUCUGGGAUCAAAAACUAGGUUACCAGGUCAAAUCAAAGGAAAAGCUUGUUAACACUCUAGAGGUCACAAUUUUGGCCCAAUCUUAAUGAAACUUGGUCAGAAUAUUACCCUCAAUAAAAUCUUGGAUGAAUUUGAUAUUGGGUCAUCUGGGGUCAAAAACUAGGUCACCAGGUCAAAUCAAAGGAAAAGCUUGUUAACACUGUAGAGGCCACAUUUAUAACUGUAUCUUCAUGAAACUUGGUCAGAAUGUUACUCAUGAUGAUCUCAAAGUCCAGUUUGAAUCUGGGUCAUGUAGGGUGAAAAACUAGGUCACCAGGUCAAAUCAAAGGAAAAGCUAGUUAACACUCUAUAGGCCACAUUUAUGACCAUAUCUUAAUGAAACUUGGUCAGAAUGUUAAUCUUGAUCUAUAGGUCAUGUUCGAAUCUGGGUCAGGUGGGAUCAAAAACUAGGUCACCGGGUCAAAUCAAAGGAAAAGCUUGUUAACACUUUAUAGGCCACAUUUAUGACAGUAUCUUUAUGAAACUUAGUCAGAAUGUUAAUGUUGACAGCCCUUUUUUUGUAAAUUUGGGGAAGGGUACCAGGUCCCUUUUGGAGGGGAAAUUUAUGUCGCGAAAUCAUUGUUUGGAGGAAUAUAUUUGCUGAAAAGUUGUUAAAAUCAGGACUGAAAAUCAAAACUAAUUUCAUUUUUUUUGCAUGGGGAAUUUUUGGCCAAGGUGGGGAAAAAAGUAUACUUUUUAGAUUGGGGAAUGGGGCCGAAUUUCGGCCCUAAAAUCAGCAUAAAAAAGGCCUGGUUGAUGAUCUUUAGGCCGAGUUCGAAUCUGGGUCAUGUGGGGUCAAAAACUAGGUCACCGGGUCUAAUCAAAGGAAAAACGUUAACACUCUAUAGGCCGCAUUUAUGACUGUAUCUCCAUGAAACUUGAUCAGAAUGUUACUCAUGAUGAUCUUAAAGUCCAGUUUGAAUCUUGGUCAUGAUUGGUCAAAAACUAGGUCACCAGGUCAAAUCAAAGGAAAAGCUAGUUGACACUCUAGAGGCCACGUUUAUGACCAGUUCUUAAUGAAACUUAGUCAGAAUGUUAAUCUUGAUGAUCUAUAGGUCAUGUUCAAAUCUGGGUCAAAUGGGGUCAAAAACUAGGUCACCGGGUCAAAUCAAAGGAAAAGCUUGUUAACACUCUAUAGGCCACAUUUAUGACUGUAUCUUUAUGAAACUUAGUCAGAAUGUUAAUUUUGAUGAUCUUUAGGUCAAGUUCGAAUCUUGGUCAUGUGGGGUCAAAAACUAGGUCACCAGGUCAAAUCAAAGGAAAAGCUUGUUAACACUCUAGAGGCCACAUUUAUGACUGUAUCUUCAUGAAACUUGGUCAGAAUGUUAAUCUUGAUGAUCUUUAGGUCAGUAGGUCAGGUGAGCGAUACAGGGCCAUCAUGGCCCUCUUGUUUUGAUCACCCUAUAGCUUCCAUUUCUAACAGCUAAGUGGAAUAGAAAAUUGUCAUUGUAUUUAUCAAAAUAUUUAUUAGAAGAUAAGGUUAAGUACCAGUUUGAAAGUCUAUACUUUACCAGUAGUAAACUUAACUUCUCAACAAGAAUGUUUCAAAAUUUUGUUGUUACAUGAAGCCCAAGUGAGUCAAAUAGUGUUGAAGAGUUUGUGCAGUGGUUUGACUUCAUAUGCUCAGCACAUCUGUAUACUACCAGUAGUUUGAAAACUGAAUAUGAAUAAAAGCAAAAUGCCUGUCUAAAUUCAAUUCAUACGCAAGUAUUAUCAGUGUAAGAUUUAUGUAGAAUAUGAUAAUAAGCACCAAUGCUUUUAUAUGUUACCUGGUUUUAUUUUAUAGUAUAGUUUAAUAGUAAUUUUAUCUAUUAUUUAAGCUUAUCUAAGCUCAGCACUUAUGCAAAUAUGAAAGGUGUUACAUCCAUGUCUGUGUCUUUCCAAUUAGCAAAUGUUUUAAGUAUAUAGCGAUAAUUAUUCUUGAUAGUUAUAAACAAGAGAAAAUAAAAUGUAUUUUACACAAUAAAAAGUAUCAUUUAUCAUGUAAACGAUUGUAAAUGAAAUCUUUUACUUAGUCUUAUAUUGUCAAAGUAGAGCAGUAUUUUUCACAAACUGGCUAUAUACCUGACCACACUUUAAUUUUGUUAAAUUUGGUAUAGUGUUCAUACUUUGUCCUCUUGAUCUCAACAUGUGCAUUACUGUUGGACUUAUUAUUUAUCAGGGAGGUACAUACUAGAAUGUUUUUUUCAAAGUGAAAACACAUAUGCUAAAAAAAAGAAAAUCUUGGAAGUUGUUUAAUGCAGAUUAAAAUGUUAUCUAUUUAAUCACAUGCAAAAAGUGUAAGUUACAAUAUGUGGGACAAACACAUCAGAAAUGUUCUCAAAGAAUGAACAGCCAUAAAUUUGAUAUCAGACAUUUUCCUGAUACUCCUACAAAUGUAUCUGAAUAUUUCAAUUCUGAAAAUCACUCUGUUAGUGAUUUUUCUUUCAUGCCAAUCGACUUGGUAAAAAAUGACUGGUUUAGGCUCUUGAAAGAGACUUGUUGGAUUCAUACAUUGAAUACAGCCUGGCCUCAUGGCAUGAAUGCUAAAAUAUUAUUUUAGUCUUUCAUUUUUUCACACAGAUUCUUCCUAAUGUAUUUUUGCAUAUAAGUUAGUUUUCCUUGCCUGUAUUAAUAUUAUUUAAUGCAGAUUGCACUUUUUGUAAGUAUUAGGGACUCUGGGGUCCCAUGCUUUAUAAAACUAAAUUUGGAAACCAGUUUCAAAACGAUUGUUUGCUCAGUCAUAAUAUUGGCCAAUGGAAAGGUAUAUUCUGCAACUAGUCUCCAAAUUUAUUUCAUAACAUUAAAACAAGGGAUAUAGUGAGCAGUGAUUUCAACUGUUUUCAUGUUUGAGUGAUCCAAGUUCAAGUGGCUGUAUUUACACAGCAAUCAUUUCUAUGUAAUGAAAAUGUGAUCAGUAAGGUAACUGCAUUUAACUAUUGCAACCAUAAAUACAUGGUAAAAAUAUAUAAACUUUGUUAAUGGAAAGCACUUAUUAAUUGAUAUUUUUUGUAUGCCUUAUCUCAACAAUAAAAAAGUAACACAUA